rnacentral:rRNA from 1 species
AACGGGUGAGUAACACGUAGACAACCCUGGCCCCCUGGCCCGGGACAACCUCUGGAAACGGAGGCUGAUACCGGACGGGCAGGAGAGGGGCAUCCCUCUCCUGUGAAAGGCCCUGCAAGGGGCCGCGAGGGGAUGGGUCUGCGGUGCAUUAGCUAGUUGGCGGGGCAGCGGCCCACCAAGGCGACGAUGCAUAGCCGGCCUGAGAGGGCGGACGGCCACAUUGGGACUGAGACACGGCCCAGACUCCUACGGGAGGCAGCAUG